rnacentral:rRNA from 1 species
UACGUAGGGUGCGAGCGUUGUCCGGAAUUAUUGGGCGUAAAGGGCUCGUAGGCGGUUUGUCGCGUCGGGAGUGAAAACCUCGGGCUUAACUCGGGGCUUGCUUUCGAUACGGGCAGACUAGAGGUAUGCAGGGGAGAACGGAAUUCCUGGUGUAGCGGUGAAAGUGCGCAGAUAUCAGGAGGAACACCGGUGGCGAAGGCGGUUCUCUGGGCAUGAUCUGACGCUGAGGAGCGAAAGUGUGGGGAGCGAACAGG